rnacentral:rRNA from 1 species
CUUUACAGUCAUACCACCCUGAAUGUACCCGAUCUCAUCUGAUCGCAGAAGCUAAGUAGGGUCGGGCCUGGUUAGUACUUGGAUGGGAGACCAUGAACUUGAGGAUAGAUUGUUUUGA